UGCUGCAGCCGCUUUCUGUGCACGUGCACGUUUUUUCCCAUGCUCUGCAGUUUAAAGUUUUCUUUCUGCGCCUGCGAAUGUUCCGGCAAAGUCUGAAAAACUGAGAAAGGAAUACAAGGUUCGCUGCACGGCUGUGGGAUGUGGCAACGCGGGGAGCAACACAAGGGCGAAAUUUUUUCGUUUCCCAGCGGGCGAGAGAUGGUACUUAUGGCGAAAUGGCGCUAAAUGUGGAGUCCAGGCGGGGCUGACAUGGGAGAAGAUGUAUAAUGGCUACGGCCUCUGCGCUCGGAUCACUUCAGAGGAGGGGACUACGCCGACCCUGUCAUGGUCGGCUGUGCCGACUGUUGGAGUGGAAGAGCGAUCCCUGGGGGGGAUCCAUGAAGGCUUAGUUCACACACACGCACGUAUGAAGUGACACGUGACAUCUGACAUUGAUUGACUUGGUUCCGACGCAUCGGUAAGUGC